rnacentral:rRNA from 3 species
UGGGGAAUAUUGGACAAUGGGCGCAAGCCUGAUCCAGCCAUACCGCGUGGGUGAAGAAGGCCUUCGGGUUGUAAAGCCCUUUUGUUGGGAAAGAAAAGCAGCCAGUUAAUACCUGGUUGUUCUGACGGUACCCAAAGAAUAAGCACCGGCUAACUUCGUGCCAGCAGCCGCGGUAAUACGAAGGGUGCAAGCGUUACUCGGAAUUACUGGGCGUAAAGCGUGCGUAGGUGGUUGUUUAAGUCUGUUGUGAAAGCCCUGGGCUCAACCUGGGAAUUGCAGUGGAUACUGGGCGACUAGAGUGUGGUAGAGGGUAGUGGAAUUCCUGGUGUAGCAGUGAAAUGCGUAGAGAUCAGGAGGAACAUCCAUGGCGAAGGCAGCUACCUGGACCAACACUGACACUGAGGCACGAAAGCGUGGGGAGCAAACAGG